CUACGGGUUGCUCCAGUUAGGAAUAUUCGUCAAUGGGGGAAACCCUGAACGAACAAUGCCGCGUGAGUGAUGACGGUCUUUAAGAUUGUAAAGCUCUGUUGUAUGGGAAGAACAUUAUAUAUAGGAAAUGAUAUAUAACUGACGGUACCAUACCAGAAAGCUCCGGCUAACUACGUGCCAGCAGCCGCGGUAAUACGUAGGGAGCGAGCGUUAUCCGGAUUUAUUGGGCGUAAAGCGUGUGUAGGUGGUUUAUUAAGUAUAAAAUUAAAGCCCGAGGCUUAACCUCGGUUCGUUUUAUAAACUGGUAGACUUGAGUAUGGUAGAGGCAAAUGGAAUUUCUAGUGUAGCGGUAGAAUGCGUAGAUAUUAGAAGGAACACCGGUGGCGAAGGCGAUUUGCUGGGCCAUUACUGACACUGAGACACGAAAGCGUGGGGAGCAAAUAGGAUUAGAUACCCUAGUAGUC
rnacentral:rRNA from 1 species